CCCUUACCUGCCGGGUGACCCCGGGGGGAGCCGUGGCAGGGCUGCGGGGCUGUUGCUCUCUGGGUGUCUCAGGGUUUGCCUCGGAAUCCCAAAGCCUCUCCCCGAGCAGGGUUACGAGGCGAAGACUGGUCUCAGUUUCUUAGUGCUGCAUUAAUGCUUUUUGCUCGUUCUGUGUCAGUUUGCAGCCUGGCUCGUGGUUUCCACUGGUGCUGGGGAGUGGAGGCGAGUUGUGCUUCCUGCUGGGAGAGAGAAGGGCCUUGGGAAGCUGCUCCAUGAGCCACAGCUGUGCCGAGCCUGGGAGUCUGUCCAGAAGGUGAAUGCAAGAACCUGCCAAGAAAACCAAUGGCCAAGGUGAUUGAUUAGUGCAGGACCUGAGAGAACCCCCUGAAAUGACAACCUGGAGUAGUUUCCAGGAUUAGAUUGACGAGAUGCCCUUUGCUGCAUCUGAUUGAGCAAGGAAAGCCAAGAAACCUUUGCUUUUGCAGGAGAAAAUCUGGACAGCGGGAAGGAAGCAAAGAAGCCACUUGACUCCUGCCUGAGCCCCAGACAACCCAUGAACUGCCUUCCUGGGAAUGGUGGGACGGGCUGGACUCUGGAUUGCUCCCUCUGGGUGUGUGGCUCUCCCCUCAGGAACUCCAGGAACUCCUGGUGCCGCCUGGGCC